UACGGAGUACAAAGUUGUUAAAUUAACAACAUUAACCUUUAUUAGUCUAGACCUACUUAUUUUUAGCAGUCAUGGCUUGUUAGGUCGCAAGCAAUAUAUCUAGUUUUGAGAGGACAUCUCUCAAAAUGUUCUUUGAAAACUGAAUAGUAAAUAUUUUAAAAUAUUACAACGACAUCAAAAUUGAAUAAAUUUGGUUUUAUUCGUAUUGAUUCAUCGAGUAAUCAUAAUUAUUAUGAUUCAUUGAAAUGUCUUAAAAUACACAUCAUAACAACAAUAGGAAAUCUUAAUUUUUUAAUUAAGGACAUAC
rnacentral:misc_RNA from 1 species